UUUCUUUCCAAGUUGUUGGUUGUAGUUAGCUUCCCUUCCCGAGCACCGUGUGGUCGGCUCGGGUAUUGUAUUGAGAGAGUGUUUUGUAGGUUCUUUCUGAUCACUGUGGUGCGUCUAUUGGAAACAUCAAGCAUGGGUUGGAUUCCCUGUUCUGGAUAUUCAGGCACUAAGAACAAGGUUGAGAAGAUGGAAGCUCAGGAUAGUCUCGUUGGUCAGAUCAAAGCCACCCCUGACAUUCUCAUUCUGUGACUUGGCAACUGCAACUAGAAAUUUUUGAGCUGAAUGUCUUUUGGGAGAGGGAGGCUUUGGUAGAGUAUAUGCCAUUAGGAUGCCUGGAAGACCACUUGCAUGAUAUUCCUCCUGGCAAGAAACAACUUGACUGGAACACUCAAAUGAAAAUAGCUGCUGGGUAAUUACACAUGAAGUAGCUUAUCCAAAAAAAUAAAAAAUACACAUGACGUAUCUUUGUUGUAGCCCAAUUUGAACGUGAGGUGAAUCUUUGUUGUAGUAUCCUUAAUCUCAUGAUUAUUUUGGCAUUA